AUGGUACCCCGAGUCGUUGACGGAGACGUGGGCCUUGGCGAGCUGCCACAGAUGGCCCUCGGUGCCGUGGGUCGCGGGGAGGAAGACCCGGCUCAGCUCGGUGUCGCCCUCGCCGUCGCUGGGCAGGCUCAGCUCGAUCACGACCGGCUUGAGGGUCCCGUCGGCCUUGAGGAACAGCAGCGUGCGCGACGCGUAGAUGCACACGCCCAGCGUGUUUAUGCGCCUCAGGGAUAUUGUAUGUGCAUCAUGCAUACCAAGCAGAGACAUCAUACACGAAGGAGAACAGGGAGAAGUUUUCCUAACCAUUUCAAUGGUUACAUCUCCAAGCUGGCUCUUGAUGUGCUCGGCGGUUAUCGAGCUCCUCUUCCCGCCACUGCUCACCGGCGGAAACGUCUAAGAGUAGAACAUUUGGAAGUCACUCAAUCUCAAUGCACGCGCUGCAAGUUUUCAGUCAAGAAAAUUCAGGACGAUGAGAUGAAUUACUAG
rnacentral:rRNA from 1 species